CUAUGUAUUUUUCACUAAUUGCGAAGGCUUCUCAUACUUCUGAACGAUAUAAAGGUCUUAGCAUAUUAAGGCUUUCCAGAAUUAGGUCUCUUCACUAUGAAACACUGAGAAUCGGCAUUACUAACGGGUGUAGCUAAUAUGAAUUGGAAAUUCUAGACUAAGGGUUAACACCAUACCAACAAGAGGACACCGACUCACUCUACAGCUGGGACUAACACAGUUUACUUCGUAUAUUCGUGUUGAUUGACACGAUCGUCAACUUUGGUACCAAGAUCAUAUGUCCUUCUGUGGACAUAAUUAUUCGAAUGUACUAUCGAGUGUUUUUUGCAACUUAAUUUAUCUUUUGUACUGAUGUAAAAAUCUUUACUUCAACCGCCAAAAGCGCAUAUAUACCAUUCCAUCAGAGCGUGCAUUUUUAAUGGGACGACCCUAAGGACGGCUUCUUUCUGAUUUCUUACUUAACAUCGAGUUUAUUCUGAUGCCAUGUCGCCGAAUUCAUUCUGACUUCUAUAUCUGCAGUUUGCUGCCUCGGCUUCUUGCCAACGUCACUCAGAUUCCCUAUUCGUUCCGACAGAUCGCAAGUCUUGUAGGGAUAACAACACGAAAGAUAAAGUUCUCCAGGUCUAUGCUGUUUUUUUUUUUUUCGCAGUUGGAUGGCGUAUAGGACCGAAAACUUCUUGAGCCUCUUUAAGGUUAGCGUCGACUACGCUAUGGAUUUGAAUUUGUACUACAGAUUUAUCACGAAUGAUGCCGUACACUUUUAGACGCUAACAUCGUUGUUUUUCAAAAUAGAUUGUCUUUGUAGUACGACUUAGGUUUUCGGUGACUUACGUUAUAAAAUUGAAAAUGGCUGCGGAGCAGAGUGUGGUGAAAGCGUUUCUCCUUUCGAGUAUGUUUAACUUCAGUCUAAAAUUACAGAUGUGGCUUUUCUGUGCUCCUGCCAAGUAGUGAUGGCGAGUUUGAGAUGAAAUUUCCGAGCAACGGUGCUUACACUUCGGAGCGCUCAUCAGAGAGUAUGGCAUAACCUUUCCGAGAGUGUUCGCCUCAUCCAUUCUGCCAGUAUUAUUUUUAAUAAUCCUAGGCAGACUGUCAAGAAAUUCGGAGGUGUGGGCUUUAUCACGCUUGAUUCUUUUUUGAGGCUCCUCGAGGAGGACCGCUCUUCAACCAAAAAGAAUUAGCUUUGUGAGAGUAAAACUUCAAAUUCGAGGAAAAGAAAGGACUUUACUUUAGCACAACUGAAUUCUACAUAUGUCUCGUCAAUUCUAUCGAAAAGAGAAAAUUAAUGUGGGACGACUUUAUACUGUGUACACAUACAGCUUCUCGUCAGAUAAUGGGGAAACCAUCUCUUCGGGGCAUAGAGGUAGUGGUUACGUCUGCAACCGUGUCACUUCGACACGUGUCGACCUUGAUUAAUCUCCGUAGUUUUGUGUAUUCUAUAUCGUUCUGUUUGUGUGUUGAACUCAGGGAUCCGUAAAAGUUAAUUAACGACAGACUGUGUGCAAAAUUUAGCCUCGUUUCCUAUCGUUCAACUGUGGCCAAACGUGAAAAUAAAUUCACACAUAGUUACAUCGAGUCAGCCAUACUUUACUACCUGAACAAGAGGGCGGGCUUCCUCCUGUAGCAUCGUCUCCUGCCCUUUACUCGCUCAAAGGGCGGCUAAACCAGCGGAGGUGAUGGACCUUGUUCCGCGUACUUUAUCCAACAUGUUCUUCUGCAUCAUUUUAAAGACAGGAGAAAACAGCACAAUGAAGUAGCGAGCAAGGAGGCAUAUUUAGAGAUGAUCUUGGUCCCCUGAUGGACAACUUAACUGCCCGCUACCUGGCCAGUGAACACUCCCGGCAAAGCCACUUUCCAAGCUUCAACUCUUACGUUUCGUGCCUCUAACUGCCCGAAUCACUCCUACUUCGACAUCCUGCUCAUCAACGAGUCGGAGAGUUUUCGCUGCCAAGUGCCCACCUCACUGUUCUGACAAAGUGCACUUCGGGGGAGUUGAGUCUUGUGAAGUCCCGCAGUGUCCAUGAAGUGUUCAGUCCGUUAUGCGUCGGACGAGUGCGCUCGGCAUCACGAGUCGCGUGUAAGGUCACGUGUCUCUCAGUCUCUACGCCUAUAUUUCGGCUUUUUGCAGCAUCUGCACAUCUUCGCUACUGUCCUUACAUUUUAUCGAGUUUCGUACCGCUAACAGAAUUUUGCCAUUAAUUCGCUUGUUUGCCUGAAGAUGUGUGAGGUGGGCAUGACGCUGAGUUUUAGCGCAGAUGCACGCGGCGACAGAUGAGCGAUGAGACGAAAAAGAGCCUUGGUAUCUCAUGUUGUCCACGAGGAACAACAUCAUCACGAAGUAGACACCUCCAAGAAGGGCGGAUGACUGCGAAGAACCCGACAAAAGCCAAACACUCCGGCCUUCCGUUUUUCUAUUCUCGUUAAAGGUGGGGGGCAAGCAAACGACACUGUGCGUCUCGUCCGAGGAAAUCGGAUUCUACGGCCCACAAUGUAGCAGCCAAAUCUGCUCGGGAUACACAUGAGGGAAAAUUAAGGAUGAUGAAUUAGAAUUCUCAUCCAAUCCGUACCGUUACGAAAAAUUGCUUCGAGUCAGUUAACCAAGGCAGUUGGCAGAAAUCGACCGUACUUUGAGCAAUAUUUAGCAAGACCCUCCGAACCUUCCGUUCUUAAGAGUGGCUACACUGCCUAGCGCCUGAAAAAACCAUGAUAUCUAUGCGGGUGACAUUUUAGCAUUCGAUACGUUGUUUAUUAUUAAAGCCAGGUAUCAUCCAGCUAUUUUGCUAUAAACGCAUUAAUAGAAGCCGAGCUUCAUGAGCCGUGACUGGGUGCUACUGAUUUAGACAACAACCAUCGUUUUCUCUUGACCCCAUGACACUUUAGCUUUUGAGCGACCCGCCACAUGACCACCCAAAACGAAACGCUUUAACCUAUGUCUCAAUAGUUCUGCCCCUAAACGGGCAUUUCACUCGCCUGCACCUAGGCUUUUUGCUAUCCUUUGCCUAUCGUAGUCUCCCGACAGCUUCGGACUGCAACUCAAUGUUGAAUCGUUUCCGCUUCAAAUCUACUCUCGUGUGAUGUUAAUUAUGCCGAAGUUAGCUAGAAAACUGAAAUACCCAGUACGACCAUCACAGGUUUUGUGCGACCAACCGCUAAUAGAAGGUAGGUAAUCUGCUUUUCACACUUAUACAUACAUCAUAUUAAACUAUAUAAGUAGAUAUUCAUUGAUAAUUCUGGGCGUCCAAAGCGCAUGGCAGUGGUCAAAAGCAAGCAAGGCAACAGACGUGGCAGAUAGCGGACUGGGUUUCCUUGACAUCUUCAAGGAAAAUCUAUACCAUCUAAUUUUCCUCUCUGAACAACGAGUGGCUUGGCUCUAUAGAGCACACUAGAGAAGCAACAACAACACUGAACAAUUCUCUAGCCUAUCUAUAAUAGUUGGCGCACUACCCUUGGGCCUGUAGCGCUUCAGUGAUUUCGUGGUGUCUAAACGCUUGUUCUCUUAUUUAACCGUACGAAGGCAGACCGCUCGAUCAUUGCCUCUACCGUUUAUAAUGUCCUUAUAUUCUCCUGCCACUAUGUAGUGAUAGUCAGCAUGACCUCAAUGAUCAUGAGCCAAAUCUGUUCGAGCCGGAAGAGUAAUCUUUUUCCAACGAUAUUUCGGUUUCAAUGCGUUUAUGGAAAAGAUAGACAACAAUUUGGCUUAUUGUUUCG
rnacentral:lncRNA from 1 species